ACUAGUAGUAAAAUUAUGAAUAUUAGAAUUUAUGAAUUUAUUAAACUUGAAGAACCUCGAGAGAUUCCAAGGAUUUCAACACAAUAAGCAUCAAAAGUAAUACUACAAUUUCACUAAAAGUUAAAUUUCAAAACUCUUGUUAAUCUAACCAAGAUUUGGUUAUUGUAGACACUCUACAUUGGAUGUCUAAGAGAUCCCCAAAUAUACUUUUCAUUAUUCCCAAAAUACAAUGAAAGGUUAUAAAAUAAUGAAAACUUAUUAACAAAAAUAAUGAAUUUUAAUAAUUGUUAAAUUGUUUAUAAUAUGAUCUCUUGAGUAAAGGGACAAACACAACAUAUUGAUGUACUUCAAAAAAUAUUUAGUGACGAUUCUAAUUUUAGAAUUGUCUAUUUAGAACUUCAAAAGCUCUAAAAUCUAUUUGAUUGAUGUAUAUAAAGGAUUACCAUUACUAUUAGAAAUCGGUAAAAUUAUUUGUUACAUACAAAGGAAGGUGGAGGAAUAUGACUAAAAUUGAAAAAGAUGUAAUGUAGACUCUGAUUGUCCAAAAAAUAUCUGGUAUUGCGAAACUGGUCGAAUAAAUAGGUGUAUAAGGCACCAAUGUAGAUGUGUUAAAUUAAUCAGCCCAGUGGAUUUUGUGUCCACCUGAGUCUGCAUUUAGUGUUAGACCAAAGAGAGUACACUCUUUGUGCAGAAAUAUUUUCUAAAUUAUCGUUUUAUUAUAGUGUUGACACCCAAUAAUUUUUUUUUCUCUUUCAAUUUCAAGAAUAUUGUAGUUAUGUCUUUUUAAUUUAAUAUGAUGGUAAUUAAAUGAAAUAAGGCACAAAUAAUAUUACUUA